CAGAGGUUGGGAUGGGUGCUGUGACAAAUGGGAAUAGGGCAUUCUGAAAAGUAAAACUAGGGCAGGGUAAUGCCUAAUUCGAAGAGUCAGAAAAGUGACAUCAAGCUGAGAACUAAAGGAUUUCCCUUGAAAUGAAGGCGGUAUGUUCGUAUGGGGCUUGGGGGAAGGCAAGAUUGGAAUUCACAACUGGAUUUAAAAAAUUAGGCAAAUGACAAAGUCAGGAAAUGAUUUGAGAGGAAGAGCUCCAGACCCCCACCACAAAGCUAAGGAGAACUGACCAUCAAGGCUUCAAGAUCUUCAAGAGAUAGUCCACAGAGUCUGUAAAUCACCCACUGUCACGGGAGUUCUUCUACUUGCCUGAUCACAGGAAUCAUCAGACCCUCCACCUAUGAGUUACAUGACCUUCCUGGAGACUUUGGUGCAUUAAUGAUGGGGUGUGGUCCAGAAUACAGAGAAGAGAAUAAAGGACCAGGGGGAUCUUCUCAGGCACGUGUGAGAAACACUUCUAAAACCUUUUUCUGUAUUUUAUAGUUUUCACCUAUUUUACUCUAAAACUGAAAAUAAGAGACUCUCCUUUAUUAUUAUGGUGGACUAGCUUUUUAAAAAUGCCAAAAUACACAUAAUAUAUUCUUCACAUAAAUGAUUGAAAGUAACUAGAAACAAGCUGACAUUUGGGAGAAAGUAGGUUAAUUAAAAGAAAAGUUUUCAAGAGAAGAGAUUCAUAUUUAAAAAGUAUUCAGAGGUCAUGAAGAUUUCAGUACUACUGUGUGACAACUUGGGAAAUAAAAUACAUUCACAUGCAUGAAUGCAUCCUUACACACGGGUGCGCACACACACAUACACACACACACACACACCCUCUACUACAUGAUAUGGGCAAUUAUGCUGCCUAUGACCUAAACCCUAUCUAUGGGUGAUAGUGUCAAUAAGAUGGAAACUUUCCAAAAAAGAAAUAUUAGCUGAGACUUUUAGCCAAAACUGGGAGGUGGCAUUAACCUUUUCAUGCCCUUUGUACAUAGUCAAAUAAAACAAAAAUCAUUUUUCAUGUAUCAAUUGUAAUUGAUAAUGUUAUAUUCUUAUUGUAUCACAGGUUAUAAAGCCUUUGAACACACACGCACACACAAAAUCUUAGUGUUGCUAGGUUUUGCUCCCCAAACUCCUGGGUUUGGGUUUAUAUAUAUAUAUUACUCUAACGAGUGGCUGUUGAACAGUUGCCUUCCUCAUCCUGCCUAUGGGAGCUGAUUAUGCUCUACCUUCUAUGCCAAAAACACUCUGGAUGACACAGCCUGUGCCCCUAAUGAAGGGGGAGAAGAAAACCAUAGAGGUCAGGAGCUAUUUUGAAGGUCUCUUGAGGAGAUCUUUGCAACGGCAGUCAUUUCCUUUAUCAGCACACAUUAACAAAAACCUUCUGGUGGGGGCUCUGAGUUUUCUGUAUCA